rnacentral:rRNA from 2 species
GGGUUGUCAUGCCAAUGGCAUUGCCCGGUAGCUAAAUGCGGAAGAGAUAAGUGCUGAAAGCAUCUAAGCACGAAACUUGCCCCGAGAUGAGUUCUCCCUGAGACUUUAAGUCUCCUGAAGGAACGUUGAAGACGACGACGUUGAUAGGUCGGGUGUGUAAGUGUAGCGAUACAUUGAGCUAACCGAUACUAAUGAACCGUGAGGCUUAACCUU